CGCCCCCCCAGCGGCGCAGGCAGGAGUUUUGGGGCUAGGACUCUUUUCCACCUAGGUUGUGACCUAGUUUUGUGUGUCUGAGGCCUCAGCUGGGAGACUUGAAGAUGGGGUCUGUGAUCAUCUGAAGGCCCAUCCACUCACAGGUUGAGUGGUCGAUGCUGAUGGAUGCUGAGGAACAGCAUGUGAUAUUUUCAUGUGGACUAGUUUGCACUUCCUAAGAGCAUGGUGGAUGGAUUUCAAAGGUAGACUCUUUAUACACCCCAGAACCCUGGGCUUCAGGAGAGCAGUUUGAA